UACGGAGGGUGCGAGCGUUGUCCGGAAUCAUUGGGCGUAAAGCGCGUGUAGGCGGCUCGAUAAGUCUGCUGUGAAAGUCCAGGGCUCAACCCUGGGAUGCCGGUGGAUACUGUCGAGCUCGAGUCCGGAAGAGGGGUGUGGAAUUCCUGGUGUAGCGGUGAAAUGCGCAGACAUCAGGAGGAACACCAAUGGCGAAGGCAGCACUCUGGGACGUGACUGACGCUGAGGUGCGAAAGCGUGGGGAGCAAACAGG
rnacentral:rRNA from 1 species